AGGAUGAACGCUGGCGGUCUGCUUAACACAUGCAAGUCGAACGGGCGUAGCAAUACGUUAGUGGCGGACGGGUGAGUAACGCGUGAGAAUCUACCUUCAGGACGGAGACAACAGUUGGAAACGACUGCUAACCCCCGAUGUACCGAAAGGGCAAAUAUUUAUAGCCUGAAGAAGAGCUCGCGUCCGAUUAGCUAGUUGGAGAGGUAAAAGCUCACCAAGGCGACGAUCGGUAGCUGGUCUGAGAGGACGAUCAGCCACACUGGGACUGAGACACGGCCCAGACUCCUACGGGAGGCAGCAGUGGGGAAUUUUCCGCAAUGGGCGAAAGCCUGACGGAGCAAGACCGCGUGGGGAAGAAGGCUCUUGGGUUGUAAACCCCUUUUGUCAGGGAAGAACAAUGACGGUACCUGACGAAUAAGCCCGGCUAACUACGCGCCAGCAGCCGC
rnacentral:rRNA from 1 species